rnacentral:lncRNA from 14 species
CACACCCAAAAGCAGGACAUUAUUUCACGGGAGCGCUAUCGGCUCCAUCACAAAGGGUCACAGCGCAGCUGUGGCGAGCCCGGGGUUAUUAUGCAGCCUGAUGAUAGGAUCCCGCUUACCAUCCCGGCUUCUUCCUCGGGGCAACCAAUAGCCCGCGGCAGGGCUUGUGCCACCUCAUGAUAAAGGACUUACCCGACGUGUGAGGAAAUGGAGCAGCUUUCAGAUGAGAGAGGAGCAAGACUUCGUCAGGCAUCAAGAAGAUGGGUGUUCUGUGAAGAGUCACCAGCAUUGCUGCUCUCUGUAGACCCUUUUCCAUCUCUGCAGGAGACUUUCUCAGGCAUCUUGGACUGUACCCAAGGUAUUCCCAUCCACCAGUAUGGCAACCUAUGGGAAGGAGCUCCUUCAGCCAAAGUAGUUGAGAAGACCAAUGGGAUGGUACUCCCACUCCAGACAAGGGUCAUACUUAUGGUGGAAGUCAAAUCAGAGAGAAAAGGGAGCAGUGAUUCUCUCAUACCAUGGCAAUCACAGGGACCAAAGUAUAGCUGAACUCUAUGUCCCAUUUAUCCCCCCUCAACUGGUCUGAGGGACCAAUACAGAAUACCUCAAGGUGUUGAAUAUACGCUUCACUGUAUAAAGACACAGCAGAGAGUACUGCCCACUCUUGCUACCAGCAGGAUGGCUUGGGUGAUGCUUCUUUCUUAAGUCCUAUUAGAGCCUUGUCCUCAGAGACUUCAGCUGUUUGGGUCAUCCUGACCUUAGAGUUUGUCUUGCAGGGAGAAUGACUGAAGGGCCUUUUGCGAGAGGUCCAGGAAACCUCCUGUAAUUGUAGGGUGUUGAGCUCAGGGCUAUGGGUACAGUACAAUUAUCAUUUACUAACACAGUGACUCCUAAAAACCCUGCAGCACAGCUGCCUCACUGGUGCUAAAAGUUAGGAAUUAAUUACUGCCCAUAAAUCCAAGAGGUCUUCUCCAGGCAACAUCACCAACACUUCUGAGGCUGUUUUCAUGCUGAGUUUCUGAGGAAAGGCUGUCAAACAGAGGCUUCAGCUAGCAUCACUCCUCAGUGUGUAAAAUCAUAUGGGGGGAGAAGUAUAUCUGAUAUUUGAGGGCUUGAGCUCGGGCUCUCCACCUUCCGUUUUCUUUAUGGCUUUGGAGUGACACCUAUGCAGCAGCAUGUGAAACAUUUAUGUGCUGUUUUCAGUGAACACCUGCAAAGUGAUCCCAGUGCCCUUUGCAGGGAGCACUGGCAGGACUGGGGAGGGAGGGAUGCUGUAGCUAAUUUUCCUGUUUGCAGGUGUAGGUUUACACUACUCAAUCCCACAGUGGUCUUUGGCUAGUGCACCCAGGGGAGCCGAACCCCAAUAUUUCAUAUUACAAGGAUGCUCAACACACACUCCCUGGAAUGAACGCUACUCUGCAUUUCUCCAGAUCAUGCGGGCUCACACACUGGGCUGACUGAAGUUCUGCUAUCAGGUGUCACAAGAGGAGAAGCCCUACUUCAGACAGGGCUUCAAACAUCCCAUGUGCUUUGUGGUAGAGUGCCCAAGAAAUUUAGGAGCUGAGUGGGAAAGUAUGAGGGUGCCCACAAUGCCCUGCCUGUCUCCUGAAGAGCAGGCUUUAAGUGAAGCUCACAGCCUAGAACAUUGAUUUUGGAGAAGCUGAGGUGUGUUUCCUUUUGCAUGAGACCUGGUAUUGUGGUGUGUGUGCAGUUCUUAGCAGGAUGAGUACAACAAAAAUAUCAAUGGACAGGUGGAUUUGAAAAUAAAAGUGAUCCAGUGCAGCA